GACGUAGGGUGCGAGCGUUGUCCGGAUUUAUUGGGCGUAAAGAGCUCGUAGGCGGCUUGUCGCGUCGACCGUGAAAACUUGGGGCUUAACCCUGAGCUUGCGGUCGAUACGGGCAUGACUGGAGUUCGGCAGGGGAGACUGGAAUUCCUGGUGUAGCGGUGAAAUGCGCAGAUAUCAGGAGGAACACCGGUGGCGAAGGCGGCAUCCUGGACCGGUAUUGACGCUGAGGCGCGAAAGCCAGGGGAGCAAACAGG
rnacentral:rRNA from 1 species